UAUUCUGCCCCAUGGGGAAGGAUGAGAAGCUUCGACUAAGGUUCGACUCGAGCGAAGCGAGAGAACGUUGCCGCAGGCAACGGCCCGAAGGGCGAGGCGCUUUAGCGCCGAGUAAUCCCUUCCCCACCACCA
rnacentral:sRNA from 1 species